GAUGAAUGCUGGCGGCGUGCUUAACACAUGCAAGUCGAGCGGUAAGGCCCUUCGGGGUACACGAGCGGCGGACGGCUGAGUAACGCGUGGGAACAUGCCCCAAAGUGAGGAACAACUGCCCGAAAGGGUAGCUAAUGCCGCAUAUGAUCUUCGGAUUAAAGGAUUUAUCCGCUUUGGGAGUGGCCUGCGUACGAUUAGGUAGUUGGUGAGGUAAUGGCUCACCAAGCCGACGAUCGUUAGCUGGUCUGAGAGGAUGACCAGCCAGACUGGAACUGAGACACGGUCCAGACUCCUACGGGAGGCAGCAGUGAGGAAUCUUCCACAAUGGGCGAAAGCCUGAUGGAGCAACGCCGCGUGCAGGAUGAAGGCCUUCGGGUCGUAAACUGCUUUUAUGAGUGAAGAAUAUGACGGUAACUCAUGAAUAAGCACCGGCUAACUACGUGCCAGCCGCCGCGGUA
rnacentral:rRNA from 1 species